UUUUCCAGGCAAGAGUACUGGAGUGGGGUGCCAUUGCCUUCUCCCUUUUGACAUACAUUCUUGUCUAAAAGUCAAAACAUAUUAUGUGGCACCAAAAAGAAAUCUAAAUGUUUAUAUUAGUUUUUUUAGGAAAAAUAAAUGUUAUUAUGAAAUAUUGUCAUGCAUGUGUAAACUUCUGAUGGAUAAAGAGUUCACCACCCUUCAGUUGAUAAAGAAAAUACUGCAUACAAAUGGUUUAACUGUGCAACCAGUCUUUAAAAUCCUCUCAGCCAAGAUAGAUGUUAACCAGCCAUUAUAUACGCUCUUNNNNNNNNACUGACAGAUCUUAAUUCUCUGAACCUGUCACCAGAUCAAAGACCUUCAGUGGUCUCUCUUUGUUCGCAGAAGGUACCCCAAACUUUGAAACGUAAAGUCUGAAGCCUGUGGUUCCAGAGCGCUUUUCUAGCCCUGUAUUUCAUUACCUCGUCACUCUGCUACUCUGUUUUCAUAAUGAAGCAGUCUUGCAACACUCCUUAUUUAACCAGACCAUUCUCCUCCCUUACACUGUCUGUCUCCGUGCAGCCCAGUCUCUAAUGGAACCUUGAGAACAACCUUAGCCGACUCGUGAUGGGGGUGGGGAGGGUUGCCAACGACAGUUGCCAGGGUCUGGUUGUUUCAGGUAGUGAUUUUAAUUUCUUGCCUUGGAAAUGUUAGUGAUUUUAAUUUUUUGCCUUGGAAACAUUAGACAAACUGAAGGUAUGUAGAUGUUUAGUUUAGUCUGUUCUCUACGAAUGGUGGCUAAAGUCCAGGUAGGAAUUAGUAAAUUAAUAAUCAGUUACUUGCUUUUCAUAGAGGAAGCAUCUGUCAACUUGUAGUUCAACCGUCCGACUUAGAUCUUCCCUAGCUAGAUGCCUGUUCUGUGGGCCACUGGACUCCUAAUAGUCUCAGGCAGAACCCAAACCAGUAAAAAAAAAAGAAAAGAAAAAUGGAGAAUUAAAGAGCAGAGGAAGAGUUUACUUGGUUACCUGGUUCUUUAUCAGAUAUCAUCUUUAAGUGUUUGUCUUAGUUCUAUUUAUAGCCAAAAUUACAGUGAAAUUAGAAGUUUUUGGUUUGAUCUAAGCUCCUUGCCCAUUUCUUCUUCUUCUUCUUCUUCUUUUUUUUUAGAGCUAUCAGGUGUUCUUCUCAAAAACUUGGUAUUUUUCAAAGUGAUUUCUCCAUGGUUUGGGAUAUUUUAUAUCCUGUUUUCGUCCGCUUUAAUGUGUAUGUAUAAGAAAGUUCCUUUUUGAUUGGAAUUCAACUUGUACUCUUUCAGAACUGCCUCAUGACCACCUGAAGCCACAUAAGUAAGACUUUAAUACAGUGAUUUUGGGGGCCCAUUUGUAAUUUUCAGAGUUUCAUAAUAUUAGCAUUAACUCCUGAGGUUGCUGCAGGUUGACCGCAGAGCAGUCAAGCUUUCGAAAGAUUGGAGCAGGCUGAUGCAUUGCUGAGCAUGUGAGGUUACCGGAUGUGACUGGCCAGUGUACCUGUGGUCCGUUUUUGGUAACUUUUGCCAGUGGUGGUGUUCUCUAGGAGAACCUCUCUCCCCAUAGGACAGNNNNNNNNNNNNNNNNNNNGUUGGGUGGAAGACCUGGCUCCCACCUGGCCUCUGGGACCGGGCCCUCUGUGCUGUAGUCAUCUCUGGCCUCUGUUAUAAGACCAGGGGUAACGGGCUCAGUGCUGUGUUGCCUUCAGUUAAGAAGGACCUCAGACUUCGGGCUUUGCAUGUCAGAGAGGUCUUGCAGUGCACAUUGCCACUGCCACUGCCAAGCCGCAUUAGCCCACUGUGUUGGCUUCCUCCUCAGGCUCUUGUGGCAGAAUAGCGUGAAUGGGGUGGCUUACGGCUACAGAGAUUUACUCUCACAGUUCUGAAGACUGGGAGUCUAAAACCAAGGUGCCAGAAGGGCCAUGUUCUCUCCGAGUCCCUUGGUAGAGUCCUUCCUUGCCACCUCCUAGCUUUUGGUGAUGGCCGUCAGUCCAUGGCNNNNNNNNNNNNNNNNNNNNNNNNNNNNNNNNNNNNNNNNNNNNNNNNNNNNNNNNNNNNNNNNNNNNNNNNNNNNNNNNNNNNNNNNNNNNNNNNNNNGUCCUUCCUUGCCACCUCCUAGCUUUUGGUGAUGGCCGUCAGUCCAUGGCCUUCCUUGGCUUGCAGCUGCAAAGCUUCAUUAUCUGCCUCUGAUGUUGCAUGGAAUCCUUCUCUCUGUGUCUGUGUCCAAAUUUUCCUUUUCUUAUACGAGUCAUGUUGGACUAAGGCCCAGCCUACUCUGGUAUGACUCCAUCUUCAUUUAUUACCUCUGCAACUUACCCUGUUUCUAAAUAAGCUCAAUCUGGUGUCCUGGGGGUUAGGACUUCACAUGUCUUUUUGAGAGACACAGCGCAACCCAUAACGUCCAUGAUUUUUUCUUUAGCAUUGCAGGUUUGGAAAUUCUCGUUAGUGGUUGACCCGAUGUCAGUCUGACUAAAAUGAAGGCAGUUUGGGUAUAGUGGUAACCUUUCCAGCAAGAAAGCUGUGUGGUUAUGAAAACAGACUAGAAUGAAGGUUAUGAAAGAGGUAAACCUAGAGCUUCACUGUAGGGUAAGCAGGGUCUUUGAGCUGGGCUAGAUGAUGUUACACAACCUGUUCCGCCUAACUUCCUUAUAGUCAAGACUGUGGUUUUCCCAGUAGUCAUGUAUGGAUGUGAGAGUUGGACCAUAAA
rnacentral:lncRNA from 1 species